ensembl:lncRNA
GUGGAGGAGAAAGGCCGUGGGACGAGGUAGGGGGUACAAAAUCUGAUAGGCUCUGUAAAGUGAAAAAGCCCUGCAGGAAAUUCUGAUAAGCCCAGCAGGAUGCGCCAUCCUGAGAACCACAGAGGGGUUCUGAAACCCACCUCAUCCGGAGGAACGUGGAGGAGGAACGCUCGCCAGAGAAGUUUUUUGAUUCCGGACUUCUUGGAGUCCAGAACGGCCCCUCCAAUUCCUUUCAAAGCCAGCCCCCAUAGAAACUCUCUAGCUUUUAGCUCUUCUCAGGACGAUCAGCCAGCCGACACCUGGAUUUGGCAAGCUGGCUGUGGAGUAGAGGCUGGGGCUCUGACUUGAACUUGCAGAAUCCUGGUCCAGCCCCUUCCCAGCUUUGUGGGUCUGGGUGGGUGGAAUUGCUCUGUAAGCUACAAAGGGCUGUGUGGAAAGGCAGAGGGUGACUAUUCGUGGCCUUCAGAGGAUCACACCUCAAGCUGGUGACAAGCAACCUUGCUGAUGUUGACGCUGAGAAGCAAUUUUGGCUGUCCUCCCCUCUGAAGCACGGUUUAGGGACAGCCCCAAACCCGCUAAGUCAAGUGAAUGCUUCUGAGCAGAGGAAGAAAUGAGCCCGGAAAGAUUUUGGAUUAGCCCGAAAGCCACAUAGCUACAUGGCAACAGAACUGACCCUGGAACUCAGGUCUCUUGACAACAUAUCCUUUUUUCCUGCUAAACGGAAUUAGUGAAACCAGAGUUUGAACACCGGCUCAUUCCUGAACCAGUAGUAUGACUUUGAGCAACUUGCUCUCCUUCUCUGAGUGUGUUUGCACAUACGGAAGGUGAGAAUAACAAUACUGGAGACCUCACAAGGCUGCCGUGAGGAGGAAUUAAUCUAUGGUGAACAGAGAGCUCCAUGCCUGGCACAGAAGAGGGGUGGGCUUAUGGAAUUCGAAACGAAGCAGCUGUUGUAAUAUCUUGAAUGACUAAACUGGAUCCAUUGUACUGAUGUGGCACCAUUAUUCAUAUUGUGGGGCACCCCUUUCUGUGUAGGCUCCAUCACAGAAGGUCUAGGCUCAGCUCAUGGCUGUAUCCCCAGAGCUUAGCAUAAUGCCUGGCAGGUCAUGGGCGCUUGGUAAAAGUUGGUUGAAUGAGUGAGUAAAUGAGGUACCAAGAGACACAAAGGAUGGUUGGAUAUCAGUGGCCAGUCCAAUGGCCCUUGGUUCAGGACUUCUUUUUCGCUUUAGAGCCUGGCUAGUCUGUGUCCCAAAAAAGCCUUCCCUCAUCCCAAACCAGAGGACCCCAAAUAUUUUCACCAAGCAUCCUUUCUUUGUCAUACAUUUGAGGAAAAAGUUAUUUCUCUAGAAGAGAAAUCAAGAAGGGAGAGAACGCCUUGUCUUAACUUCCAGGGACAAAUGGAAACUGAAACACUCACGCCUACGUGGCUCACGUUCCAGGGAGAGACACAGUAACGUGGCAUCUGGAAAAUACCCAGCUCAAGCCAGAUUUCUGUCAGUUCCUUCUCUGUCGGUCUGUGCUUCCCGGCUAGUGAAGUAUACGGUUUCUGCCUUUCCUUCUUCCCAAAGAAAACUUUGAUGAAAAAAAAGGGGUUCUGCCUCCUGGGGAAUCUGAUGGACUCCUUGGGGGCUGUCUUCGUCCAAGGUCAGUGGUCAUUACUGUCACCUCCAAGAGAGAACCAAGAAUCCUGGCUCUUUGGCUGCUGCCACUGUCUUGGCCACUAGGUGUCACCAGUGGUCCUGCAGCCCACCUCCAGACGGGAGGCAGGCAGAUGUCACAGGGAAUACUUCCUGUCUACAUCCUGCUCAAAGAAGAGGCUUUUGGAAUACCUACUCUCUUGCCACAGUGGACCUCAGCAGGCAAUCCCGCUCAGAAAAGAAAAUUGUUGGACGUAAGUGCUAGUCCUACCGUCUGAGUGCUGAAUCUUCUCCGUGGUCAUCUGAGAAAGGAGAGGUUCUCGCAGCAGGAGAGGUGGACAGACCUGGGUCCUGGUUCUGGCACUGCCACCCACUUCUGGUGUGACUCAGGGGAGCCACUCAGCCGUCUGAGCACCCCUACCUGAGAGAAAUUAAGACCUGACACAUGUUUGCAGCUUUUUCAUUUUGUCGCCGAGGUGAAUUUUAGUUUCCUGAGUGCUUACUGCACGGCUUACUUCAGGGGCUCAAAUGGUGCUAGGUGGGUGGGUACUAGUUUGAGGAUUAUGAAGAUAGGUGGGGGAGGACUGGGCUGUCUCUCCAGGCGAGGUUCAACAUACUCACCCCACCCCCAACUUUCUGGAGUCAGACAGACUAGGGUUUAUUGCAGCCUGACUCCAACCAGCUACUUCACUGGGUAUGUCACUUAACUCAUCUGAGCCUCAGUUUCCUCAUAUGCAGAAUGAGGGCAAUAUCUACCUUUCAGAGGGUGUGAUGGUUAAUUUUAUGUGUCAACUUGGCUGGGCCAGGGAGUACCCAGAUAUUUGGUGGAGCAUUAUUCUGGCUGUUUCUGUAAGGGGGUUUUGGAUGAGAUUAACAUUUAAAUCGGUAAGCUUUGAGUGAAGCAGAUUCCCCUCCAAAAUGUGGGUGUGCCUCAUCCAAUCAGUUGAAGGCCUGAGGAGAACAAAAACGCCAGCCUCCUGUGAGCAGGAAAGAAUUCUCCAGCAGACCGCCUUUGGACUUUCACCUGCUACACUGGCUCUUCCUGGUUCUAGAGCAGUUGGCCUUUGGAGCUGAACUGGAACAUCAGCUUUCUUGGGCCUCCAGGCACCACUCUACCCCGGAGAUUUUGGACUUGCCAGCUUCCAUAAUUGUGUGAACCAAUUCCUUAUAAUAAAUCAUAUAUACG